AUUAGUAAACUUGAUAUUGUGUUUUGUUGAUCUUGUGAGUGCCUUUCUGUGGAACUUUGAUUGAUGAAUAUUGAGCUUGUUGUUAAGGAUAUGUAAUUGUUAGAGUGUUGUUGUUGAGCUGUGUGCUAUGUGAAUUAUGAACUGUUAGGUUGGCUGGUUUUAUACAGGUUGUAGUUGUGGAGGUUGUAAUUGAUGAAUAUUGAGCUUGUUGUUGAGAAUAUGUGAUUGUUAGAAUGUUGUUGUUGAGAUAUGUGCUUGUG
rnacentral:lncRNA from 1 species